AGCUUGCUGGGUGGAUUAGUGGCGAACGGGUGAGUAACACGUGAGUAACCUGCCCUUGACWCUGGGAUAAGCGCUGGAAACGGCGUCUAAUACCGGAUACGACCUGYCCCGGCAUCGGGUGCGGGUGGAAAGUUUUUCGGUCAAGGAUGGACUCGCGGCCUAUCAGGUAGUUGGUGAGGUAAUGGCUCACCAAGCCGACGACGGGUAGCCGGCCUGAGAGGGUGACCGGCCACACUGGGACUGAGACACGGCCCAGACUCCUACGGGAGGCAGCAGUGGGGAAUAUUGCACAAUGGGCGAAAGCCUGAUGCAGCAACGCCGCGUGGGGGAUGACGGCCUUCGGGUUGUAAACCUCUUUUAGUAGGGAAGAAGGGCUUCGGCUUGACGGUACCUGCAGAAAAAGCACCGGCUAACUACGUGCCAGCAGCCGCGGUAAUACGUAGGGUGCAAGCGUUGUCCGGAAUUAUUGGGCGUAAAGAGCUCGUAGGCGGUUUGUCGCGUCUGCUGUGAAAACCCGAGGCUCAACCUCGGGCCUGCAGUGGGUACGGGCAGACUAGAGUGCGGUAGGGGAGAAUGGAAUUCCUGGUGUAGCGGUGGAAUGCGCAGAUAUCAGGAGGAACACCGAUGGCGAAGGCAGUUCUCUGGGCCGUUACUGACGCUGAGGAGCGAAAGCGUGGGGAGCGAACAGGAUUAGAUACCCUGGUAGUCCACGCCGUAAACGUUGGGAACUAGAUGUGGGGACCUUUCCACGGUCUCCGUGUCGCAGCUAACGCAUUAAGUUCCCCGCCUGGGGAGUACGGCCGCAAGGCUAAAACUCAAAGGAAUUGACGGGGGCCCGCACAAGCGGCGGAGCAUGCGGAUUAAUUCGAUGCAACGCGAAGAACCUUACCAAGGCUUGACAUAUACCGGAAACUUCCAGAAAUGGUUGCCCCGCAAGGUCGGUAUACAGGUGGUGCAUGGUUGUCGUCAGCUCGUGUCGUGAGAUGUUGGGUUAAGUCCCGCAACGAGCGCAACCCUCGUUCUAUGUUGCCAGCACGUCAUGGUGGGAACUCAUAGGAGACUGCCGGGGUCAACUCGGAGGAAGGUGGGGAUGACGUCAAAUCAUCAUGCCCCUUAUGUCUUGGGCUUCACGCAUGCUACAAUGGCCGGUACAAAGGGCUGCGAUACCGUAAGGUGGAGCGAAUCCCAAAAAGCCGGUCUCAGUUCGGAUUGAGGUCUGCAACUCGACCUCAUGWAGUCGGAGUCGCUAGUAAUCGCAGAUCAGCAACGCUGCGGUGAAUACGUUCCCGGGCCUUGUACACACCGCCCGUCAAGUCAUGAAAGUCGGUAACACCCGAAGCCAGUGGCCUAACCGCAAGG
rnacentral:rRNA from 1 species